CCUACGGGGGGCAGCAGUGAGGAAUUUUGCGCAAUGGGCGAAAGCCUGACGCAGCGACGCCGCGUGGGGGAUGAAGGCCUUCGGGUUGUAAACUCCUUUCGACCGGAAAGAAACGCCCUUUGGCUAAUACCCAAGGGGUUUGACGGUACCGGGAGAAGAAGCCACGGCUAACUCUGUGCCAGCAGCCGCGGUAAGACAGAGGUGGCGAGCGUUGUUCGGAUUUACUGGGCGUAAAGAGUGCGUAGGCGGUUAUACAUGUCUGUUGUGAAAUCCCGAGGCUUAACCUCGGAACUGCAUCAGAAACGGUACGACUAGAGGACAGGAGGGGGAAGUGGAAUUCCAGGUGUAGCGGUGAAAUGCGUAGAUAUCUGGAAGAACACCGGUGGCGAAGGCGGCUUCCUGGACUGUCCCUGACGCUGAGGCACGAAAGCGUGGGUAGCAAACAGGAUUAGAUACCCCAGUAGUC
rnacentral:rRNA from 1 species